rnacentral:rRNA from 1 species
AACGAACGCUGGCGGCAGGCCUAACACAUGCAAGUCGAACGAAGUCUUCGGACUUAGUGGCGCACGGGUGAGUAACACGUGGGAAUAUACCUUACGCUGGGGGAUAACAUCGGGAAACUGAUGCUAAUACCGCAUACGCCCUUCGGGGGAAAGAUUUAUCGGCGAAAGAUUAGCCCGCGUCCGUUUAGCUAGUUGGUGAGGUAAUGGCUCACCAAGGCUCCGAUCGGUAGCUGGUCUGAGAGGAUGAGCAGCCACACUGGGACUGAGACACGGCCCAGACUCCUACGGGAGGCAGCAGUGGGGAAUAUUGGACAAUGGGCGCAAGCCUGAUCCAGCCAUGCCGCGUGAGUGAUGAAGGCCGUAGGGUUGUAAAGCUCUUUCACCCACGACGAUGAUGACGGUAGUGGGAGAAGAAGCACCGGCUAACUUCGUG